GUUUUUAUGGUGUAAACGAACACCUUACAUUUUCGUUGUAAAACUGAAAAAGAAUUUUUCUAAAAACU
rnacentral:tRNA from 1 species